rnacentral:rRNA from 1 species
UACGUAGGGAGCAAGCGUUGUCCGGAAUCAUUGGGCGUGAAGCGCGCGUAGGUGGCCUCAUAAGUCCGCUGUGAAAGUCAAAGGCUCAACCUUUGAAAGCCGGUGGAUACUGUGGGGCUAGAGUACGGAAGAGGCGAGUGGAAUUCCUGGUGUAGCGGUGAAAUGCGUAGAUAUUGGGAGGAACACCAGUGGCGAAGGCGGCUCGCUGGACCGGUUCUGACGCUGAUGCGCGAAAGCGUGGGGAGCAAACGGG